rnacentral:tRNA from 1 species
GUCCAGGGAUGGGAAUCGAACCCACAAUGUUCCGCUUACCGGGCAGAUGCCAUGUUCACUAGAGUACCCUGGA